rnacentral:rRNA from 1 species
AUUGAACGCUGGCGGCAGGCCUAACACAUGCAAGUCGAGCGGAUGAAGGGAGCUUGCUCCUGGAUUCAGCGGCGGACGGGUGAGUAAUGCCUAGGAAUCUGCCUGGUAGUGGGGGAUAACGUCCGGAAACGGGCGCUAAUACCGCAUACGUCCUGAGGGAGAAAGUGGGGGAUCUGCGGACCUCACGCUAUCAGAUGAGCCUAGGUCGGAUUAGCUAGUUGGUGGGGUAAAGGCCUACCAAGGCGACGAUCCGUAACUGGUCUGAGAGGAUGAUCAGUCACACUGGAACUGAGACACGGUCCAGACUCCUACGGGGGGCAGCAGUGGGGAAUAUUGGACAAUGGGCGAAAGCCUGAUCCAGCCAUGCCGCGUGUGUGAAGAAGGUCUUCGGAUUGUAAAGCACUUUAAGUUGGGAGGAAGGGCAGUAAGUUAAUACCUUGCUGUUUUGACGUUACCAACAGAAUAAGCACCGGCUAACUUCGUG